rnacentral:rRNA from 1 species
CCUAACACAUGCAAGUCGAGCGGUAGCACAGAGAGCUUGCUCUCGGGUGACGAGCGGCGGACGGGUGAGUAAUGUCUGGGAAACUGCCUGAUGGAGGGGGAUAACUACUGGAAACGGUAGCUAAUACCGCAUAAUGUCGCAAGACCAAAGUGGGGGACCUUCGGGCCUCAUGCCAUCAGAUGUGCCCAGAUGGGAUUAGCUAGUAGGUGGGGUAACGGCUCACCUAGGCGACGA